CAGUCGCCACGGGAAUACGGAGGGUGCGAGCGUUAAUCGGAAUUACUGGGCGUAAAGCGUACGCAGGCGGUUUGUUAAGUCAGAUGUGAAAUCCCCGAGCUUAACUUGGGAACUGCAUUUGAAACUGGCAAGCUAGAGUCUUGUAGAGGGGGGUAGAACUCCAGGUGUAGCGGUGAAAUGCGUAGAGAUCUGGAGGAAUACCGGUGGCGAAGGCGGCCCCCUGGACAAAGACUGACGCUCAGGUGCGAAAGCGCGGGGAGCAAACAGGAUUAGAUACCCCUGUAGUCCCUGUCUCUUAUAC
rnacentral:rRNA from 1 species